rnacentral:rRNA from 1 species
CCUACGGGAGGCAGCAGUCGAGAAUCAUUCACAAUGGGGGAAACCCUGAUGGUGCGACGCCGCGUGGGGGAAUGAAGGUCUUCGGAUUGUAAACCCCUGUCAUGUGGGAGCAAAUUAUAAAGAUAGUACCACAAUAGGAAGAGACGGCUAACUCUGUGCCAGCAGCCGCGGUAAUUCAGAGGACACAAGCGUUGUUCGGAAGGACUGGGCGUAAGGGGUGCGUAGGUUGUUUAGUAAGUCAGGUGUGAAAGGCGCGGGCUCAACCGGCGGACGGCACAUGAUACUGCGAGACUAGAGUAAUGGAGGGGGAACCGGAAUUCUCGGUGUAGCAGUGAAAUGCGUAGAUAUCAAGAGGAACACUCGUGGCGAAGGCGGGUUCCUAGACAUUAACUGACGCUGAGGCACGAAGGCCAGGGGAGCGAAAGGGAUUAGAUACCCGAGUAGUC